GAAGAUGCUCAAAUGAAAAUGAAUGACAAGAAGACCCUGUCGAGCUUUACCUCUCAGCGAGGCACCAGUAAGCUCCACGAGAAACUGCAACCUAGCCCCAGGUUAUGUUGGGGCGACAAAGGGAUAAAACAAUCUCCCUAUAUAAAAGAAGACCUAUC
rnacentral:rRNA from 1 species